rnacentral:rRNA from 1 species
UACAGAGACUGCAAGCGUUAUUCGGAUUCACUGGGCGUAAAGGGUGCGCAGGCGGUCGGGUGUGUCAGAUGUGAAAUCCCGAGGCUCAACCUCGGAACUGCGUCUGAAACUACUCGACUAGAGUACUGGAGAGGGUAACGGAAUUCACGGUGUAGCAGUGAAUGCGUAGAUAUCGUGAGGAACACCAGAGGCGAAGGCGGUUACCUGGACAGUUACUGACGCUCAGGCACGAAAGCAUGGGGAGCAAAAGGG